rnacentral:rRNA from 1 species
UACGUAGGGGGCUAGCGUUGUCCGGAUUAUUGGGCGUAAGAGCGUGUAGGCGGCCAUGUAGGUCCGGUGUGAAAACUCGAGGCUUAACCUCGAGAUGUCAUCGGAAACCAUUUGGCUAGAGUCCGGAAGAGGAGAGUGGAAAUUCCUGGUGUAGCGGUGAAAUGCGCAGAUAUCAGGAAGAACACCAAUGGCGAAAGCAGCUCUCUGGGACGGUACUGACGCUGAGACGCGAAAGCGUGGGGAGCGAACAGG